rnacentral:rRNA from 1 species
CCUACGGGAGGCAGCAGUGAGGAAUAUUGGUCAAUGGGCGCAAGCCUGAACCAGCCAAGUCGCGUGAGGGAAGACGGCCCUACGGGUUGUAAACCUCUUUUGCCGGGGAGCAAGCCUGAGCACGUGUGCCCAGGCGGAGAGUACCCGGAGAAUAAGCAUCGGCUAACUCCGUGCCAGCAGCCGCGGUAAUACGGAGGAUGCGAGCGUUAUCCGGAUUUAUUGGGUUAAAGGGGUGCGCAGGCGGGCUGUUAAGCCGGCGGUAAAAAUUCAGGGCUCAACCCUGUCGAGCCGUCGGAACUGGCAGCCUUGAGUACAGUUGAGGUAGGCGGAAUUCGUGGUGUAGCGGUGAAAUGCUUAGAUAUCACGAAGAACUCCGAUUGCGAAGGCAGCCUACUAAACUGCCACUGACAUUGAUGCUCGAAAGUGUGGGUAUCAAACAGGAUUAGAUACCCGAGUAGUC